rnacentral:rRNA from 1 species
GACAUGGUCGGAAUCCUGAAGAGAUUUGGGAGUGCUCGAAAGAGAACCGGCGCACAGGUGCUGCAUGGCUGUCGUCAGCUCGUGUCGUGAGAUGUUGGGUUAAGUCCCGCAACGAGCGCAACCCUUGUCAUUAGUUGCUACGAAAGGGCACUCUAAUGAGACUGCCGGUGACAAACCGGAGGAAGGUGGGGAUGACGUCAAGUCCUCAUGGCCCUUAUGGGUAGGGCUUCACACGUCAUACAAUGGUACAUACAGAGGGCCGCCAACCCGCGAGGGGGAGCUAAUCCCAGAAAGUGUAUCGUAGUCCGGAUUGGAGUCUGCAACUCGACUCCAUG